GCCGACGUAGCUCAGGUGGUAGAGCAGCUGAUUCGUAAUCAGCAGGCCGCGGGUUCGAGUCCCAUCGUCGGCU
rnacentral:tRNA from 1 species